rnacentral:lncRNA from 1 species
AUGUCCCUGCUGCUUUUUCAAAUAAAAAAAUCAUUUUCGAAAACCCUAAAAGAUGCUGGGCUGUUCUCUCCCUUUGUGGUUGGUCUCCCCACUUCAAGAAAACCAUUCUGUACAGCUCCCUCCCUUUGUUGUUAUUCAGAAAGUCUGAGAUGCUGGGCCCAUUUCCUCACAGCUAUGAGCAUCCUGGCUCUGGUUUUACAGAAGUUGGUUGCUGACAAAUGACAGUUGAAGGCCAUGUAUAUUUGCCGUAAGAAAACAAGCUGGAAAUAGGCCAUAUAGUUGGCAAAAUAUAUUGGAUUUCUCUUCAGAUCACCACGCCCAGAACUCUGCAAGUACUAAGUGUGAAGAACUGGUUUCUUUCUUCUUCUUCUUCUUCUGAUGAUGAUGAUGAUGUCUGUGGUACUUUAUGUUCAUGGCCUUGCAAAUGACACUUCCACAUUUAGAGAAAACAUUACAGUAGACGAAUAGGUCCAACGUUCUAAUUUUAACAAAUACUGUUAUUCUGUCAGAUAAAUUCUGCAGUAAAACUACAGUCUUAUUGUUAACCAAAUGGGGUUGAAACAAUUAAUCUCUUUAAUUUGGCAUAGCUCCUAUGCUCAUGACCUUUAGAGACCAAGUCCCAUUUUUCUCAGAAUGUGAAGGACAAGAGAUGUAAAUUCACAUGUUUUCUCCUCUGAUUAUUAUGCUGCCCAGUAGGACCUGCCGGGAAGUAGAUAGCUUAUUUGCCCUUCCUCCUACCUAAUUUGAAAUGUCCAAACAUCAAAGGGUGAAUACGAUGCUUUAAGCAUUUCUGGUCACAAAAAAAUGUGUUUGCUUGAAGCCCACUGUUGAGACAGUUUUAUCACCAGAAUAAUUAAUGUUUUAGCCAGGACGCUCAUUCCAUGUUGCUUCUGGCUGUGAAUUUUGAUUAGAUGUUAAGAGAAUAGGAUUUCAUUAGCUACUCACCAGAGAUGUUGUUAGAGAUUCAAUUGCCAUGAAACCAAAUAAGAUACUUUCUGGCUGAACGUGAUUGCCCUGGGUUUGUUUGUUGCCCUUUUUGGCCCAG